CUGCGUGGUCUAGGCACCCAGGAAAAAGUGAGGCUGCUCGCAGACAGCGGCAGCGCGCCCGCGGGGGGGAACUCGCCACGCUAUGGUUGCUCUGGCUGGAGAAGCGGGGAAUGGGGGUGUCUCCAUACAAGGUUGGGAGAGCUCCUGCCACAGAUGAAGACAUAUAGCAUCUUGGAAGCAGAGAGUCAUCAUGCGGGAGUCCUGUCCUUGAAAAUCUGGCCUCCAGAACUUCAGAACAAUGAGAAUCAUACUUCUAUUAUUUAUAAACUACCCCGUCUUGGUAA